rnacentral:rRNA from 1 species
GACAGAGGGUGCAAACGUUGUUCGGAAUUACUGGGCGUAAAGCGCGUGUAGGUGGCGAGGCAAGUCGGGUGUGAAAGCCCUGGGCUCAACCCAGGAAGUGCACUCGAUAUUGCCUAGCUAGAGUCCCGGAGAGGUUGGUGGAACUCUCGGUGUAGAGGUGAAAUUCGUAGAUAUCGAGAAGAACACCGGUGGCGAAGGCGGCCAACUGGACGGUGACUGACACUGAGACGCGAAAGCGUGGGGAGACAAACAGGGAUUAAGUGAUCCC